rnacentral:lncRNA from 1 species
CCACCCUCUCCAUCGAGCAUACAUAGGAUGUGCCAGUCUAUCCGGAAUAUUGAUCCCUGAAUUAAUGCUCCUACGAUCAGAAAUAUUUAAGAUUAAGAUUUUAAGAUUUUAGUUCUCACUAGUAUGACCCAUUCAAGUCUCCUAAAAUCAUUAUCCUAAUUUUUGAAGUUCAUUAUAAUCUUAGACAUGAUAAGAUGCAGCU